rnacentral:rRNA from 1 species
CCAAUAGCGUAUAUUAAAGUUGUUGCAGUUAAAAAGCUCGUAGUUGAAUUUCGGGGUCAGUAGAUUGGUCGUGCCACUGGUAUGUACUGGUCUUACUGGCUCCUCCUUCCUGAUGAACCGUAAUGCCAUUAAUUUGGUGUUGCGGGGAGACUGGACUGUUACUUUGAAAAAAUUAGAGUGUUUAAAGCAGGCUAACGCUUGAAUACAUUAGCAUGGAAUAAUGAAAUAGGACGUUCGAUCUUAUUUUGUUGGUUUCUAAGAUUGACGUAAUGAUUAAUAGGGAUAGUUGGGGGCAUUAGUAUUCAAUUGUCAGGGGUGAAAUUCUUGGAUUUAUUGAAGACUAACUACUGCGAAAGCAUUUGCCAAGGAUGUUUUCAUUAAUCAAGAACGAAAGUUAGGGGAUCGAAGACGAUCAGAUACCGUCGUAGUCUUAACCAUAAACUAUGCCGACUAGGGAUCGGAUGAUGUUAAUUUUUUAAUGACUCAUUCGGCGCCUUACG